UGCAUUGCACAAAAUGUGUCUCAACAUGCCAAGCUAACCUUUGUAUUUGGUGGAAAAAAUGGGAAACGCACGUGGUAAUCACAAUCCGCCACAAUAACUGUUGGGACCGCAUAUAUAGGAAAGCUUAUGCUAAACUUUAUGCAUUGUAUAAAAUGAGUCACAAUCCGCCAUAAUAACUGUUGGGACCGCUUAUAUAGGAAAGCAUAUGCUAAACUUUAUGCAUUGAAUCAAAUUGUCUCAACAUGUUUUCACUAAAUUUGUGAACAAUUGUUUCAUCUAUGGUCAUGAACGAACUAGAUCGUUCUAUAUGAGCAUGCCGAUUCCUAUUCUACCGUCAAACAAAAUAAAGUGAUGCAAUUCCAGUAAUAGACAUCGACGACGCCAUAAAGGUGCCAAAAUUGUUUUGUGUCGGAAUUGGCCAUCUGACAUUGUUUAGAGGGCAAAACAAUAAUUUACUUUUUUUGGGACGCGGAAUGGAUGGUGAAAACGGACAUGAAAACUAGCUUUGAGGCCUCCACCCGGCCAAGUGCCUCGUGCCACUAGGCACACGGUCGGGUGCAAUGUUAAGUGACGAAGAAACAGAAGAGGCUGAAAAUUAUCCACGCGGCCGGGUGAUUUUCAUGCCCAAUAAUUCACUUGGCUGGGUGCGUUGAUGUAGGAACCGCCAGUUUUCAGUUUUCAAAUAAUUGGGAGGCAGUUUUGGGAGAUUUAUUCAGACAUUCCGGAUGAGAAAAUAGAGAGGACAAGAGAGAGAAAGAUGAGGAAGAAGAGAAGGAAGAAAUUCCGGCCAACAUUCCGACGACCCGUCUCCAAAUUCCAAUUCCACUCAACGAGAGCAUGAUUUCUAUGGUUUUUAUUGCAAAAUCUGCCAUGUGUUUAGGUUAAAACUCUCAAUGUUGUUGUUCCAAGUUGUAAUUUAGGCUUGUAUGGAUGUUUCUAUACCAUGGAAUCCUUAUGUUUUGUUACCAACAAUGUGCUUGAUGUUUAUACAUUAUGUUUUUGGCUAAUAAUAUAGUGUUGUUCUUUCCCUUGCUA